rnacentral:rRNA from 2 species
UGCAAGUCGAACGAGCUUCCGUUGAAUGACGUGCUUGCACUGAUUUCAACAAUGAAGCGAGUGGCGAACUGGUGAGUAACACGUGGGAAAUCUGCCCAGAAGCAGGGGAUAACACUUGGAAACAGGUGCUAAUACCGUAUAACAACAAAAUCCGCAUGGAUUUUGUUUGAAAGGUGGCUUCGGCUAUCACUUCUGGAUGAUCCCGCGGCGUAUUAGUUAGUUGGUGAGGUAAAGGCCCACCAAGACGAUGAUACGUAGCCGACCUGAGAGGGUAAUCGGCCACAUUGGGACUGAGACACGGCCCAAACUCCUACGGGAGGCAGCAGUAGGGAAUCUUCCACAAUGGACGAAAGUCUGAUGGAGCAAUGCCGCGUGAGUGAAGAAGGGUUUCGGCUCGUAAAACUCUGUUGUUAAAGAAGAACACCUUUGAGAGUAACUGUUCAAGGGUUGACGGUAUUUAACCAGAAAGCCACGGCUAACUACGUGCCAGCAGCCGCGGUAAUACGUAGGUGGCAAGCGUUGUCCGGAUUUAUUGGGCGUAAAGCGAGCGCAGGCGGUUUUUUAAGUCUGAUGUGAAAGCCUUCGGCUUAACCGGAGAAGUGCAUCGGAAACUGGGAGACUUGAGUGCAGAAGAGGACAGUGGA